AGUGAACGCUGGCGGUAGGCCUAACACAUGCAAGUCGAACGGCAGCACAGUAAGAGCUUGCUCUUACGGGUGGCGAGUGGCGGACGGGUGAGGAAUACAUCGGAAUCUACUUUUUCGUGGGGGAUAACGUAGGGAAACUUACGCUAAUACCGCAUACGACCUACGGGUGAAAGCAGGGGAUCUUCGGACCUUGCGCGAUUGAAUGAGCCGAUGUCGGAUUAGCUAGUUGGCGGGGUAAAGGCCCACCAAGGCGACGAUCCGUAGCUGGUCUGAGAGGAUGAUCAGCCACAGUGGAACUGAGACACGGUCCAGACUCCUACGGGAGGCAGCAGUGGGGAAUAUUGGACAAUGGGCGCAAGCCUGAUCCAGCCAUACCGCGUGGGUGAAGAAGGCCUUCGGGUUGUAAAGCCCUUCUGUUGGGAAAGAAAAGCAGCAGGUUAAUACCCCGCUGUUCUGACGGUACCCAAAGAAUAAGCACCGGCUAACUUCGUG
rnacentral:rRNA from 1 species